AACGAACGCUGGCGGCAUGCCUAACACAUGCAAGUCGAACGAGACCUUCGGGUCUAGUGGCGCACGGGUGCGUAACGCGUGGGAACCUGCCCUUAGGUUCGGAAUAACUCCCCGAAAGGGGUGCUAAUACCGGAUAAUUUCUUCGGACCAAAGAUUUAUCGCCUUUGGAUGGGCCCGCGUUGGAUUAGCUAGUUGGUAGGGUAAAAGCCUACCAAGGCGACGAUCCAUAGCUGGUCUGAGAGGAUGAUCAGCCACACUGGGACUGGGACACGGCCCAGACUCCUCCGGGAGGCAGCAGUGGGGAAUAUUGGACAAUGGGCGAAAGCCUGAUCCAGCAAUGCCGCGUGAGUGAUGAAGGCCUUAGGGUUGUAAAGCUCUUUUACCCGGGAUGAUAAUGACAGUACCGGGAGAAUAAGCUCCGGCUAACUCCGUG
rnacentral:rRNA from 1 species